GACGAACGCUGGCGGCGUGCUUAACACAUGCAAGUCGAACGGAAAGGCCUCUUUCGGGGGGUACUCGAGUGGCGAACGGGUGAGUAACACGUGAGUAACCUGCCCUUGACUUUGGGAUAACUUCAGGAAACUGGGGCUAAUACCGGAUAGGAGCUCCUGCUGCAUGGUGGGGGUUGGAAAGUUUCGGCGGUUGGGGAUGGACUCGCGGCUUAUCAGCUUGUUGGUGGGGUAGUGGCUUACCAAGGCUUUGACGGGUAGCCGGCCUGAGAGGGUGACCGGCCACAUUGGGACUGAGAUACGGCCCAGACUCCUACGGGAGGCAGCAGUGGGGAAUAUUGCACAAUGGGUGGAAGCCUGAUGCAGCAACGCCGUGUGCGGGAUGACGGCCUUCGGGUUGUAAACCGCUUUCGCUCAUGACGAAGCUUAGUGUGACGGUAGUGGGUAAAGAAGCACCGGCUAACUACGUG
rnacentral:rRNA from 1 species